rnacentral:rRNA from 1 species
CCCUUAGAUGUUCUGAACCGCACGCGUGUUACACUGAUGCAUUCAACGAGCUUUACCUUGGCCGAGAGGCCUGGGAAAUCUUUUUAGCAUGCAUCGUGAUAGGGAUUGAUUAUUGCAAUUAUUAAUCAUGAACGAGGAAUUCCUAGUAAACGCAUUUCAUCAAAAUGCAUUGAUUACGUCCCUGCCCUUUGUACACACCGCCCGUCGCACCUACCGAUUGAGUGGUCCGGUGAAUAAUUCGGACUGCAGCAAUGUUUGGAUCCCGAACGUUGCAGCGGAAAGUUUAGUGAACCUUAUCACUUAGAGGAAGGAGAAGUCGUAACA